UCCUUUAUCCAGUCCACUUUUCAUGGGCAUCUAGGUUAAUUUACUGUCUUUGCUACUGUGAAUAAAUAGUACUACAAUGAACAUACAUGUGCAUGUGUCUUUAUAAUAGAAUGAUUUAUAAUCCUUCGGGUAUAUAUUCAGUAAUGGAAUUGCUGGGUCAAAUGGUAUUUCUCUUUCUAGAUCCUU